rnacentral:rRNA from 1 species
UGAAACCGUUUAGGGGUAAACCUGAGAAACCCGAAAGGUCGAAGGGAGAAAUUCAUUCGCGUUUCGUAGUUAGUGACUGACAGGAUUUGUGUGACGGAAAUUGUUUCGGUAAUUUUCGCACCGCUUGUUUGUCGUUCUGAUUGCGAACGUGUGCACUUUUUUCCCGGUAGGACGUCGCGAUCCGUUGGGUGUCGGUCUACGGUACGUGGUGGAGACCGUUUGUCCACUGGUCGAACGGACCCACGUUAUUUCCUGGCCGGCUCACUCGACGGUAUAAAAUUAUGGUUUGAGGCCGCUUAUUUUAAUUAAGCGUUCGACGCAUAGCAAGCACGUUAGGAUGCCGGUUCGAUAAUCGGACUAGUGCCGAUUUCGACCACUAACGACUGUUGGCUGUGUUGUUCUCGGACAGACCUCGUGACCGAUCGGCGACGCUAUAGCUUUGGGUAAUUUCAGGACCCGUCUUGAAACACGGACCAAGGAGUCUAGCAUGUGCGCAAGUCAUUGGGAAACAUUAAACCUAAAGGCGCAAUGAAAGUAAAGAUCUUCCUUGCGAAGAUCGAGGGAAGACGAGCGGUUUUUGCCCUUUAAAAAGGUGGGGCCGCUUUGCAUUCCCGGGGCGUCUCAUUCUCAUUGCGAGAAGAGGCGCACCAUGAGCGUACACGCUGGGACCCGAAAGAUGGUGAACUAUGCCUGGUCAGGAUGAA